AAGAUCCACCUCCUCUUCCUCCUCCCGUACUGGGAGUACAAUCAACCUUAGACAGUUAGGAGGCCAGUACUGACCCUUAAAGUUGAUCGUAUAAUAAUGAACGAACCAGAGUUCAGAAUUUAGAAGUAUUGCUAUCAAAUGAAA